GGGCAACCUGCCUGUAAGACUGGGAUAACUUCGGGAAACCGGAGCUAAUACCGGAUAAUCCUUUUCCUCUCAUGAGGAAAAGCUGAAAGACGGUUUACGCUGUCACUUACAGAUGGGCCCGCGGCGCAUUAGCUAGUUGGUGAGGUAACGGCUCACCAAGGCGACGAUGCGUAGCCGACCUGAGAGGGUGAUCGGCCACACUGGGACUGAGACACGGCCCAGACUCCUACGGGAGGCAGCAGUAGGGAAUCUUCCGCAAUGGACGAAAGUCUGACGGAGCAACGCCGCGUGAGUGAUGAAGGUUUUCGGAUCGUAAAACUCUGUUGUUAGGGAAGAACAAGUACAAGAGUAACUGCUUGUACCUUGACGGUACCUAACCAGAAAGCCACGGCUAACUACGUGCCAGCAGCCGCGGUAAUACGUAGGUGGCAAGCGUUGUCCGGAAUUAUUGGGCGUAAAAGCGCGCGCAGGCGGUCCUUUAAGUCUGAUGUGAAAGCCCACGGCUCAACCGUGGAGGGUCAUUGGAAACUGGGGGGACUUUGAGUGCAGAAGAGAAGAGUGGAAUUCCACGUGUAGCGGGUGAAUAUGCGUAGAGAUGUGGAGGAACACCAGUGGCGAAGGCGACUCUUUUGGUCUGUAACUGACGCUGA
rnacentral:rRNA from 1 species